UAGUUUUAUACAGUAAAGGUAGAAGGUGGAGCAAACAUGUGAAAGAAGCUGCCACAGUCACAAAAAUCAACUUUUUUCACAAAUAGAAAUCUAUCAAAGUUCAAUCUAUCAACCAAUCAAGUUUAUUUGUACAACACAUUUCAGCAGUAAGGCGGUUCAAAGAGCUUUAAAUUAUAUAAACACAAAGAUUUCGCCUUAAUUUAAAGUAACUUAGUGUUUGCAGUUUUGAGCUCACAUUUAUUGAAAAGUGAACUCGAUGUAUCCCCAAAAAUGAUCCUACUGGAGAAAUAAUUUCAGCUUUUGUCUUAUUAUGCUUGUUUCAUCUCAGGUUGUUCAUCUGAAAGGUCAA